rnacentral:lncRNA from 1 species
UUAAUAACGAAGCUUUAUUCAAUAUGGAUAUAUCUGAUCGCUUAUGAUAGCGUAACGCAAGUAGAGAGAGAGACCAUAUACUUCAUAUCAUUUAUAAUAUAUCUAUAAUUGUUCCUGGACUAAUUGUGUGAUUCAUGGAAAGACAAAGAUACAGGAAAUAAGAAAAUUACUACAAAUAAAAUUGAAGCUAGUGAAUAACUCAAAUUAAUGAUGACUAUAAAUUAAUGUAAAGAAAUCCCUUGAUUAAAAAUAUAAAUAUGAUAAGUUCUGUAGAGUAGUAUUUUUUCAAUGAAGAAUUUAAUAUCUGCCGUAAAAUGUAUAAAAAGAUUGAUCUUACAAUUUUGUCAGACAUACGGAAUACGUACGUUUUGUAAACGUCUUACUAAAGCCAACAGAAAUUUAUUUUUCCCGCAAGUAUCAAAAUUUACACUGCGACAUGUUGAAUUGUACUGAAAUUGAACAAAUAAACACAACAAUGUAUGACAAUACAACCAAAAUUAUAACAGCGUCACAAAUGCUCUGGAAUACAACGGAAAAUGUAACCACGGGUAGUGUCAAAGAUGGAGAGUGUGGUAACGAAACGGAGGUCGUCGUGUCGGAAUAUCUCUGGAAAAUAAUUCCGCCGAUUUUAUUUUUUGCCGGAUUGACGGGAAACACUUUGACAAUAAUAGUAAUCAAAAGACUUGGGUUUAGAAAUCAACCCACAUUGACGUUUCUUCUGUGUCUGGCAAUAAGUGAUAUUGUUGUCUUAUGUACGGGGCUACCUCGGUACUGGAUACUCUACGUAUUCGACUAUGACCUCAAAACGGCGAGUAAUGCCACCUGCAAACUGUAUUAUUUCUUUCUGUAUAUGACGAUGCAAUUCUCUUCAUGGAUUCUUGUUGGUGUUACAGUGGAAAGACUAAUAAAAGUUUAUUUUCCAAUGAAGUAUAGAAGUUUAUAUAGUUACAGGAAAGUUAUAAUUGAACUUUUCAUAACCUUGAUUGCUUUAAUUCUAGUCAAUGGACAUUUCCUAUUUUACAAACGGUAUUAAUGAUUACACAGAAGGUGACUGUAGCUCUCUCAAUCCUGACUUAUUUUACUUUGACGAGAACGUGUUUACGUUCAUUGACUUUUCUGUUCUCAGUGCUGUUCCUUUCAUUAUAAUGCUGGGAUGUAACAUUCUACUCGUGAAAGUCCUCAAACAAGUACAACGGGACCGAGUCCUCUAUGAUGCAUGAAUUCGUUUAUGUGCGAACCAACCGUUUUAGUGUCAAAAUGACGAAAAUGUUGGUCGUAUGCACAUUCUAUUUCUUAAUUGCCACAGCACCGAUUUCUAUAUACUUCAUAUUGGACACAUACCUGUUACUCGAGUAUGAAAGCAACAACAACUGUACGGCAAUAUCGAGAAUGGAUCUGGCAUGGAGUAUCAACUACCUACUUCAGUAUUCUAACUCUUGUGUAAAUUUCUACCUAUAUACUGCUAUGAACGACAGAUUUUAUAAAGAACUCAAAGCUGUGCUAUGCUGCCGUCGGAGUUUACGUAUGACGAGAGUAUACACUACACAGCGUCAAGGUAGCAGCGGUCGAAAGCUAGCGUCAUCAGCGAGGUCUACAAGUGAUGGUUUGGAUAACUCCGUCUCUGAUGAAAAUCGUGUUUGAAUAUAUACGGACAGAGAGUCCAAAUACAUUCAAACGUACACGCGACAUUCUAGAGCUUGAUAGUAUUUUGAAGAGUUAAUGGUGCCUUUGGACGGAUUUCUAAUUGUUUUAUAAAAAUUGUCCACAAAUUCUGUGACAGUUUCUAUCAACUUUUUGGCAGAGUGCGGAUAAGAAGCCUCCAGUAUUACAACAGAAAGCCACCACUCGUUGUAUAACAUGAUGUUCGGUAAUAUAUAAUAUGUAUCACCUAUAAGUUUCAAUUGUAUUUCUGUUCACUUUUCACCGACAUGUCUUUAACACAUGUACUUUUUUAAAUCAUAUCGUUUGCAGGUUCAAUUUUUGUAUGGAUAGUUAGUAUGGGCAGCCUAAAGACGCACCUCUUUACAGAAACACACAUUAGAUUUCUGCAUCUUUUACAACAGUUAAUAAACACUAUUGUCAAAGAAACAGGACUCGAACGUAAAACCUGUUUUUGGUCUUUUAAGAAUGAUGUAAAAUCAUUUAACAAAAAUAAGAAGGUUCUAAGAAGAACAUUAUCUACCAUUAUCUACCAGAAAAUCUCAUCUUCCACACCUUCUGAUAAGCACAUUAUUUAAGACGUUAUUGUGCAGUUUGUUGUUCCAUUCACUUAAAAUGUGUGUUAUUUUGCAUUGUAAUGUAUUACAGUUAUUUUGAUUCGUGUUAUGUCAUAUUUUAAGUGUUCGUUGUCGAUAUUGUGCAAUAAAUUAAGUCAUUAAAAUGU